ACAGCAACCUAAAUUCGAUUUGUGACGACGAUAGCCCACAGUUCAUCCACGAAACGGGAUUGCAAUCGAGUUUGGUGCUGAAUCUCCUGCCCGACAAAAGCAAACCGUUUUGCAAGCGUCAAUUUCACGCUCCGGAAUCCCACGGUUUCUACGUGCGUCUGCAGCGAAUACCGAUGCCGGUGGGCGCCAACCGUAAAGUCUCCCAGCAGAGCAGUGGCAUGUCGAAGAAGUACGGCAGCAAGAAAACCAGCAACAUCACCGAUUCCUGUGCACUCAGUAUAUCCCAAUCAUUGCACGGUGAAGUGCUUCCUCCUUGGCGAUUGGACCCUUGUGAACUAGAAACCCAUAGUACCAAAGAAGAACCGGUGCGGCUGCUGCAAGGAAGACUAAACAUUGUAUGGAAUCACCUGGGCAAUCAACCGGCAUAUCGAUUGCUGGUAACCGUAAUCGGUAACGGUGCUCCGUGUCUUGAGAGAGACCGACAUCCAUGUCUGGAGGUGGACGACGUUCCACUGCUAUGUAUCUCGAAGGAUCUCAUUUGCGAUGGAGUGCGGCACUGUCCCUCGUCGAUAAAUGCCUUGAGUGACGAGGACAGUGAGAUGUGUGCGAAAAAGACUCAGCAGGAACUCACGGAUAAUCCCGUGGAAAUGGUCUUCAAAAAGUACAUUCAAACUACAUUUAAAGCAUUUUUCUUCACCGAUUCCACCGAGUCGCCCACCAAGGAGAUAUCAACGGUAUCGAACGAUGAAAAAUUGGUGGAAGUGACUGAAACUCAAACGCCAACCACCAUCAAACAACACAAAAGCACCCUCACGGGAUUGUCGAAAUAUGGCCCUUGGGGUUACUUGUUCCUAGGUAUGCUGCUUUGCGGUGGCGCUUUGUUGGUAUGCGGCUUGUGGGAAUGCUGCUGCCGGUCACAAAAGCCAGACGCGCCCGAGAUACCAGGUCAGGAGAAUCCCUCCGUUUUUCUCGAAUCUGGAGUGAGCAAUUCCAACCUGAACACCUCGAUUGGGGUUGCUCAAUCGUUACCUCCGUACGAGGAUCUCGAUCCACCUCCAGCUUAUUCGGUUCUUUUCCCAAACCAAAAAUCAUCGGAUAAUUUACCUUCGUUGGCUCAAGCGGCAAGCGUGAGUCAGCAGAGUGCCGAUGACAGCAGCGAACCAGUGCAAUCCAGUAGCAGUGCAGCAAGCAUUAGCUCAGUCCACAUUCAGACCCAAACCGGUCAAUGAGUAAUCUAGGUAUCAUAUAAGGUUAGGAUUAGUAUCUAAAUAAGGCUGAUUUUACUAUUUAUUUAACAGAAAUCCGUAUUGUCGAGUAGGUAGCAUUAGAAUACUCCAUUUUUCAUGGCUUUACGCCACAAAAGCCCAAAUCGGUAAAGCUAGAACCAAACGGUAGAGAAUACUAUGAAAUUACGAUUUCAUGUAAAUUCGUUUGAAAGUAUUGGAACCUGAUACAUCGAAAUACUCUCAGGCAGAAUAGUGAAGCAAUCAAACAUUCCACUAAGUUUGAAGAUUUUCAUUCUAUUUGCCUCAGGUAUUUUUCCACUAGUACUAUAGAAUAAGACAAAACGUGUUAAUUACGAAAGAGUGUGAGUUCUCACAGGAAAGCAUUUGUAUUCGUAUUCAGCUAAAUCGUCAUGUGAUAUUAAAUUAUUUGUAAUCAUGGACAAUUGAGAAAAACAGUCAUAAUAGUAAUUUAAA